CCGCUUCCCUCAGGCGCGGCGGCCAUUUUGGGUGGCGGGUGCGGGCCGGGGCGGGGAGCGGCGGCGGCGGGGCCGGGCCUGACCGUCCUCGCUCCCUCCGCCGCGGCGGCCGCUGCGCUUAUCCAGCUGAAAGUCAACAACGGGAUCUUCCUUCGUCCCGCUCGACUUCGUAGUCACUGACCCCAAGGGGCGUCCCGGCGCCUGCUGCCUCAGGAACACCACCCCACGCCCCCUCCGCGGGAGGCACUGCAACUUGCCGCCCGUUUAUAAACAAAACAAAAAAAACCCGUUUUUACAAAACUGUCCCAAAGGCGGCCGCGGGUCGGGCCCGUAGACUUUGGCGCUAAAGUGGCUGAUUUUGGAAAGAGGAAGAAGUAGUGCGCAGGAAACGGCAGCAGGUACUUUGGCAGCCUCCUGAGAGACAUGGAGAGCACAAGGGAACUGGCCAGGGCAUUCCCCUGCCUGCUGAAGAUGACGGUUGCAGCUCCUGCUCUAACACUGGCUCAUGAAGGGGUAGGUCAGUCUGCUUCCAUUUCUCUGUCUGCACCAAGAAAUCCCACUGAAAAGUGCUGUAUUAACAAUGGAAGAUUUUCUUUGCUGUUUCCUCAGUCUGAUAUUUUUCAGUAUCUUUAGAGGGUAAAAGUCUGUAUCACUAAUGGUAAAGAAAAGAAAGAUGAACCUUCAGUUUAAAAUGAAAAUGUUAUUAACUCACCAGCUCUUUUAAUCCUCUUCCUCUCCUUCAGUUGGUAGGGUUUGUGAUCGUGGGACAAGGGGAUAGCGUUCCCGUCCUUGUCGCACAAGACUCCUCGUGAAUCACCAACGUUGGCCACCGUGAGUUCUUUAUCUGACAACAAUGCAAUCAAACAAGUCGUACCUGGGGGAAAAGGGAAAGCAAAGAAAAAGCAUGUAUUCAGGAUGACCAGCAGUCACACUGCAAGUUUCCUCCAGUUGUCGUCUGUGGCCGUAAGGAUCAACAGCUGUACUUACACCUGAUGGAAACAUCUUGUACUCUGAUCAGUGCCAUGAAAUAGAUUGUCAUCUAAUCUGACAGUUUUCUCCUAAAGUUAUUCAAGUCUAUCAGAUUUUAACUCUCAUAGAUUGGGAUUGCAGAGUCAUUCACCAUUCACAGUAUCUCACAUAGUUGUUAUUUGGCCAAAUUUUUGCAGUGAGGCCAUAGCAGAACCUGCCUUGAUGGGGACUUCUCACAGCACUCGCUCCGCAUUGCUCUUGCACAGAGUGGCAGGUGGACGAGUGAUGUGCAAAGCUGAAAACCUCAAACUUCUUGGUCUUCUGCUCAGGUAGGAAAAAAGUGACUAGCAGGAAAAUGUUCUUUACAUUAAGAACAGCAGAGAGGGGCUGAAGUGACAGGAGUAUAUUCUCAGUCUCCACCUGGUAGCUGUCUUUUCCUGAUGGUCAAGGAAAGUAGUAAGAGACAAGUACACAGUGGCACCAGAGCCCACCAGCAGUUUCCAUGAGCACAAACUACUGCAUUUGAAACGAACAUGAGUGAAACGAGUCUUCUCUCUCCUCAUCCCUUCAAGAGCUGUUGCCGAGAUGUACGUGCUGGGCCAACCCGCCAGGCCUCGAUGAAGGCAGGCUGCGCAGCCUUGGCACGGUCACAGGCUACAACUUCAAAUGGCACCUGUGCUGCUGAGAACUGCUCUGUACGGUGUGUACGUUGCACCAUAUACUCCGUAACGAGAGAGAAGCAAAAUGCCUGAAACUACUGUUGGUAAGGAAGGCUAUACAUCCAAAGGACAUGGUGUGUUUUACUGAAAAAAAAGAAAAAGCUUUUACAUUGUAAUUACUUUAAUCUUUACUUACACAGAAAAAUUAAUCAGUCAUUGACCAUGGUAUCCAAGAGGCAUGAUAUCUGUUGGCUGAAGUGGCAGGAAAAAUUGGCUGCUUUUAAAGUACUAACCCUACAUUUUUUAUUCUCCUUAUUUAAUUGAUGCAGAGUAGAAUGAACUUUGAGCAAAACAGACCCCAUUAAGAACAUACCUUUUGUACGUUUUCUCCUUCUAGUCAGUAUAACACAAGCUGUAUUCAUAAACACCCUAGCUAUUAAAAUAUAUUCCUUUCAGGAAUGUUAGACCAGAUGUCACAAUUUCAUUAACUUUUUAGAACAGAAAGUUGCCAAAUACGUUUUUGGAUAUACACUAACAAACAUUAAAAGGGAACACUCCUGACAGCUUAGAUUACAGAGCGGUACUAAAACUCAUUUAUUUUCACAUUAUCACAAAUCAUAUUCUAAUAUCUUCCAACAGUAAAUAAAAUUAAUUUCAUGGUUGCUUUCUUUUCCUUUUACAUAAACCAGAAAAAGUGCAUGGUGAAUUUUCAUCUCUGUUGUUAAUUUACAUCUGAUUAUUCAUAAAAACAAGGCAUCUACCCUUCUCAUAUAAAGGAGAUUGACAGGGAGAAACAGCACCAGCUGGGCAGGAGAUGGUGAGAGGCAGUACCAAAAAGCUUUCAGGAACUGUCUGACAUGUACUUGCUCAUUUACGGGCAUGAGGACAGGGAAGGUGGUGCAAACAAAUUGGCCACUGCCAACUGCCGACGUGCACGAGGCCCCGGGGACGCGGCGAGCAGGGAAGGAGCGCCCACGGACAGGGCGCCCGAGGCGAGGCGCUUGGUGCAUCUCCCCGAUCACGGCCAGAAGUUCCCACUUCACGUCACGGGGAGGACGGAGCUGCCAGCCUGCCUGACAAUGGGCCCAAGUGAUCAAUCCUCAACCAACAGGGGUGUUUUAAAGCAAAAUGUCUCUGCUUGUACUUUUGAAUCAGGCAAGGAAGCAGUUUUAAUGAAAAAGCCAAUAACGGAGCAUUCCAGCACAUCCUACCACCACCAGCAGCUUCUGACCUCCGUGGAUUUGCUCCUGGAGAGCUAAAUUAGGGCUUAAGCCUAAAUUCUCAUGUCAGUGGCUUGUUGUGUAGCUGUCCAAAACCAGAAUUACAAACUAUGUUUUGCUGUUCCCAUGUCCAAAGCUGAAUGUCCCAUGAUUGGUAUAAAUAAAAUAGCCAAUAAUAAA